AUUGAACGCUGGCGGCAGGCUUAACACAUGCAAGUCGAGCGGAGAUGAGGUGCUUGCACCUUAUCUUAGCGGCGGACGGGUGAGUAAUGCUUAGGAAUCUGCCUAUUAGUGGGGGACAACAUUCCGAAAGGAAUGCUAAUACCGCAUACGUCCUACGGGAGAAAGCAGGGGAUCUUCGGACCUUGCGCUAAUAGAUGAGCCCAAGUCGGAUUAGCUAGUUGGUGGGGUAAAGGCCUACCAAGGCGACGAUCUGUAGCGGGUCUGAGAGGAUGAUCCGCCACACUGGGACUGAGACACGGACCAGACUCCUACGGGAGGCAGUAGUGGGGAAUAUUGGACAAUGGGGGGAACCCUGAUCCAGCCAUGCCGCGUGUGUGAAGAAGGCCUUUUGGUUGUAAAGCACUUUAAGCGAGGAGGAGGCUACCGAGAUUAAUACUCUUGGAUAGUGGACGUUACUCGCAGAAUAAGCACCGGCUAACUCUGUGCCAGCCGCCGCCGUAAGAC
rnacentral:rRNA from 1 species